GGUGAACGCUGGCGGCGUGCUUAACACAUGCAAGUCGAACGAGAACGGGUCAUAGCUUGCUAUAAUUGUCAGCUAAGUGGCGCACGGGUGAGUAAUGUAUAGGUAAUAUGCCUCUUACUAAGGGAUAACAAAUGGAAACGUUUGCUAAUACCUUAUACUCCUUAUUAACAGAAGUUAAUAAGGGAAAGAUUUAUUGGUAAGAGAUUAGCCUGUAUUGUAUCAGUUAGGUGGUGGGGUAAUGGCUUACCAAGACUAUGACACAUAACUGGUUUGAGAGGAUAAUCAGUCACACUGGAACUGAGACACGGUCCAGACUCCUACGGGAGGCAGCAGUGGGGAAUAGUGCACAAUGGACGAAAGUCUGAUGCAGCAACGCCGCGUUGAGGAUGACACAUUUCGGUGCGUAAACUCCUUUUAUAUGAGAAGAUAAUGACGGUAUUAUAUGAAUAAGCACCGGCUAACUCCGUGCCAGCCGCCGCGGUAA
rnacentral:rRNA from 1 species